UUUUCGUUUGUGAAAAAGGAGGCUAGAAAUAUCCACGUCUGCUCCUCUUGGAAGGCAACCCUGGCGCUUGCUCCGAACACCCCCCCAGCCCUCCUGUGCGCGGGGAUAAUUAAUCCAUUACGGGAUGGAUCCUGCCGUGCUGCCGUAAAAAAGAGAUCUAUUUCUCCUCUGCUUUCCCCUCCUCCCCGAAGAGACAUCUGAAACGGAUCAUGUAAUAAACGUUUCUUGGAUGGAAGGAGAGGUAUUGUUCUCUUGCCGUGGAAACAAUCCCGGCAGUGGGGCCAGCCAGGAGGGAGCGGGGCCGGAUACUUCACUCGGCAGCUCUUAUGACAUCCUGUAUGGCAGGGCGGCCUCCGGGGGACACGUUUUGUGAUGUGCCCUCUGCAAACAGCGCUCAGGAGGGCAGGGUGAGCUGGUUCUGACCAAGGGGGACAAGCCCAGGCUGCCAAGUCUGUGGGGGCUGGAGGUGGCUUCCCUCUGUGGAGACAUCCAGGCACUGCCUGGCAGGCAACGGGACGCUCUGGAGACAGGGAAGUGGCCCAGAGUCCAUCACGACACACCCAAAAGAACACCUCUGACCACACCCUUCCAACCCUGCAUCACAACACACCCAAAAGAACACCUCUGACCACACCCUUCCAACCCUGCAUCACAACACACCCAAAAGAACACCUCUGACCACACCCUUCCAACCCUGCAUCCAUCCCUCUCUGUCAGCCCAGGCUGGGAGCAGCUGCCUUGCACGGCUCCAGGCAGAGAUCAGCCUUUCCACAGGCACCUCUCCUUCGGUUUGACGCUUCCUUUUUGCCCAAGGGACCUGGAAACAAGCUGCACUGGACUCACAGUGUCCAGCUUGAAUAGAACAGAUCCUCCUUCACCAAGUGUUUUUCAUUCCUGGCCAGCCAUGCUCGCUAUCCAAGGGAGGAGCUGCUGACAUUUAUUCCUGAAUUGCCACAUUGCAGGAGCUUUGGCUAACACUUCUGUUACAUGGGAAGAGAGAAGGGACCUUGUUACUUGAGUUUCUGGUCAGUACUUGGAACUGUGAAAACCCCCCUGGGCUCUGCUGUACAACAGCAAAAGCUUUUUCCACUGCAUCAGCAGCAUUUCAAAAUCCUGUGAGCUGAUCUUAGGGCAGCAGAGUGACUUCUCUGUCUAUCAAAGACACAAGGAUGUCACGACACCUGUGUGUUUUCAUCACAACACCCCUCAAACGGACAUCCAGACUACAGGGGUUAAAAUCACCUUUCCUCAGAGAGGAAACACUCGAAGUGAUCCACUUCCAGGACAAAAGUUGUCAGAGCCACCCAAAGCAGCUCUUGACAGCCCGAGCCUUCCCCAGGGCCAGACCAGAGCAUCUGUCCCAGCUGGGCUCAGGGUGACUAAGCUGGAUGGAAGGGACAACAUCAACCUUGCAGCUUCCCUUCCCUCUGCUGACCAGGGACAGGACCCCAGAGAACAGCUGGAGCUGUGUCAGCUGGAAUUCUAAAUCAACAUACAAACAGAGAUCCACCCUGCCAAGAACCAGGACUCCUUCUCUGGGCAAAGAGGAACAGCAGGGCCGAGCUCCCCUCUCCAAGCACUGCCCACUGGGAGCAGCCUGCUCCUCCUCUGCCUCACCAAGGGACAGACCUGAGCAGGGAUGUUGAUGGAAAUCCCUCCUCACAACAGCAAGGGCAGGUUUAAAGUGAUUGGAUUAAACUGCAUUAACCUCUGUGUGGACACAGUCACUCCAGAUUUAAGUGGCCAUUGCUCAGUUUAACAGGAGCCACUUCAAUGUGACCUAAUUCACCACCUGAGUAAAUAAGGCAAACCAAAUAAAGGUCAAUGACUGUGAAGAA